rnacentral:rRNA from 1 species
GAGUUAUUUCCUUCUUUAAGGAACUAGCGUACGAGUUGAGUAAUAUUUGUCUUAUCUACCCCUUUAUUUUUUAUUAAAAGGAUGAGGUCAAACAAGAUUAGAUAGUUGAUAAAUUAAUCCUUUGUCAAGUCUAUGAUCUUUAGCAGGUUUGAAAAAACGAUCUGCCACGGUGGGAUUGAGAUAUGGCCCAAGCUUUUUUUAAAAGACAGCAGUGCGGAAUUUUGGACAAUGGGCGCAAGCUUGAUCCAGUGAUGCAUAAUGAUGAAAUGACAGCGUUUUGUUGUAAAGUUAAUUAAUUAAAAAAAUAUGAUUUUUUAAAGAAUUAGUUCCGGCAAAUUACGUGCCAGCAGCCGCGGUAAUACGUAAGGAGCUAGCGUUAUUUUGUUUUAUUAGGCGUAAAGAGUUCGUAGGUGGGUUUUUAAACUUUGCUAAAAGUUAAAGCGAAAUUUUUUUUUGUAAAGCAUACUGAAAACCUUUGAGUUUUUAUCGAGAAAGUAGAAUUUUUAGGGUACGGAUAAAAUCGGUUGAUCCUAGAAGGAAUGCCAAAAGCGAAGGCAGCUUUCUAGAUAAUUACUGACACUGAGAAACGAAAGCGUAGGUAGCAAACGAGAUUAGAUACCUCGGUAGUCUAGUGCUGUAAACUAUGUAUAGUAAAAAGUAUUUUCUUUCUUUGGAAAAAAGUACUUUUUAAGUUAACAUUAAACUAUACCGCCUGGAGAUUACGAUCGCAAGAUUAAAAUUCAAAGGAAUUGACGGAAGCCAAAACUAGCAGUGGAACAUGCGGCUUAAUUCGAUAUUACGCGAGGAACCUUACCAGAAAUAGACAGUUUAUUCUUUUAAUAACAGGUGUUGCAUGGUUGUCGUCAGUUCGUGCUUUGAAGUGUUUGGUUCAGUCCUUAAACGAACGCAACUUUCUUUUUUUAUGAAUUUACAGGUAAAAUAGUAAGUUCAGAUCAAAAUAUUUUAGGAUAACUAAAAUGAAAGAGAAUGACGCCAAAUCCUCAUGACCCUUAUUUUCUGGGCUGCACGCGUGUUACAAUGGCAACUACAAAAAGAAGCAAUAAAGUAAUUUGGAGCGAGCUUUAAAAGUUGCCUUAGUUCGGAUCAAAGGUUGCAACUCACCUUUGUGAAGUUGGAAUUGCUAGUAAUCUGUAAAUUAGAAUGUUACGGUGAAACUGUUCCUUGGCUUUGUACAUACUGCCCGUCACGUUGAGAUAGUUGUCUUUUUUUGAAAGAUUUGUGUUUGUUAAAAAAUCUCAUAGAAAAGAGGAUGAUUUUAACGAAGUCGUAACAAGCUAACCGUAAGCUUCACAAUCGAAU